AACUGUGUAGUAGCAUGUAUGAUUUUUCAUAUAUGAGGAAAGUCCGAGCAUCAAAGAACGUGGCAGCUGCUAACGGCAGCCAGAGGCGACUCUAGGGAUAGUGCAACAGAAAUAUACCGCCUAUUUAUAUUAUAUAAAUAUGGUAAGGAUGGAACGGUGAGGUAAGAGCUCACCAGAGUAUAGGAGACUAUACUGCUAUGUAAACCCUGCUAGAUGCAACACCAAAUUGAACGAUAUUAGCUUGUUCGGCGAGUUCAGAAAGGUGGCUUAAGAAUUUUGGCGACAAAAUUUCUAGAUAGAUUACUAUACUUGACAGAACUCGGCUUAUAGGUUUAGUC
rnacentral:RNase_P_RNA from 1 species